UCGUAGUGGAUCAAGAGCGAUUUAAAGGGGGUACAGCCCCUUUAAAAAAGAAUACAACCUCUCCUAGCGGAUAACUAAUUAACACCACCCCUGACACUGUAGGCCUCCGAGCAGCCAUCAACAACGAGUGCGUCAAAGCUCCUCGCCCAAAAAUCAAGAAACAACACGACUCCCUUAUCACUAACAGGCUAACCUAUUACAAUAGGAGAAUUAAUGCUAGAAUGAGUAACUAGGGCCCUCCCCUCUCAAGCGCAACGUUAUAUUAUCAAACCAUCAACAGACCAAAUAAUGUCACAACUAACAAGCCAAAACAUUAGAUCAACUCUGUUAACCCAACCCAGGAGCGCUCACUAGAAAGAUUAAAAUCUGUGAAAGGAACUAGGCAAACCCAGGGCCCGACUGUUUACCAAAAACAUAGCCUUCAGCUAACCAAGUAUUGAAGGUGAUGCCUGCCCAGUGACACAACGUUUAACGGCCGCGGUAUCCUAACCGUGCGAAGGUAGCGCAAUCAAUUGUCCCAUAAAUCGAGACCUGUAUGAAUGGCUAAACGAGGUCCUAACUGUCUCUCACAGAUAAUCAGUGAAAUUGAUCUCCCUGUGCAAAAGCAGGGAUAAGCACAUAAGACGAGAAGACCCUGUGGAACUUAAAAAUCAGCAGCCACCACAAGCACACCCACCACCUAUUAGGCUCACUACACCUAUAAACGCUGGCCCGCAUUUUUCGGUUGGGGCGACCUUGGAGAAAAACAAAACCUCCAAAAAUAAGACCACACCUCUUAACCAAGAGCAACUCCUCAACGUACUAACAGUACCCAGACCCAAUAUAAUUGACUAAUGAACCAAGCUACCCCAGGGAUAACAGCGCAAUCUCCUUCAAGAGCCCGUAUCGACAAGGAGGUUUACGACCUCGAUGUUGGAUCAGGACACCCUAAUGGUGCAGCCGCUAUUAAGGGUUCGUUUGUUCAACGAUUAACAGUCCUACGUGAUCUGAGUUCAGACCGGAGCAAUCCAGGUCGGUUUCUAUCUAUGCUUACACUUUCCCUAGUACGAAAGGACCGGAAAAGUGAGGCCAAUGCUACAAGCACGCCUCCUCUCUAAGUAAUGAACCCAACUGAAUUACAAAAAAGAGUACCCACACAUCUUGUCCUAGAAAAGGACCGCUAGCGUGGCAGAGCCGGCAAAUGCAA
rnacentral:rRNA from 1 species